GCAGGGCUCUGUAUUUAGCCACUGGUACUGGACACUAUACUGUGGUGUGUGUUUCUGUCCCUGUUUGAAGUUCUGAAGUUCUUUUAUGAGGAAAUCUCCUGAUGGAGGACAUUUUCACAUGUCUUUUCACAUCAUGACUGCACUGGUGGGAUCUUGCUUGAAAACAUCUCUCCUGCUGCUGUUGUACGUGUUACUGAGCUCGAGCUCAAAGUUCACCAUGUUGCUGUCCAUGCCCAACACCUCCACAGUCUUCAGUGUGGGUCGCAUCGGGGCAGGAGCCCUCAUCGCCAUGGACACCGUCAACAGCAGGCCAGAUCUGCUGCCAGGUCAUCAACUAGACUACCAGUAUGUGGAUGAUGAAUGUAAUGAUUUGAAAGGCCCUGGGAAAAUAGUGGAGCUUCGGUACAGAAACAAUUACAGCGCCCUCAUCGGUCCCGCCUGUUCACAGGUUUGUGGAGUGACCUCCAAACUGGCUGCGUUCUGGAACAUUCCUGUGGUCAGCCCUGUGUGUGCAGACCAGCAGUUUCUGGACAAAGAGGCUUACCCCACUCUCACCAGGGUGUUCGGUCCCUUCACAAAGAUGGGCUCCUUCUUUGUUGAGAUCUGUAAGGAAUUUGGCUGGCGGCGCAUCGGGAUCAUCCAUGAUAAUAACACGGGGUGGACUAUCCCUGCUGAGGGGAUCAGGUACCAGGCAGAAAUCAGUAACAUCACUAUCGCCAAAUACCUGGAACUGAAAGGGGAUUCCUCCCUCGCACAAGCUCAGGCUCUGGCAG
rnacentral:lncRNA from 1 species